GCAUUGGUGGUUCAGUGGUAGAAUUCUAGCUUGCCAUGUUGGAGGCCUGGUUUCGAUUCCCAGCCAAUGCG
rnacentral:tRNA from 1 species